GACGUAGGGUGCGAGCGUUGUCCGGAAUUAUUGGGCGUAAAGAGCUCGUAGGCGGUUUGUCGCGUCGGCCGUGAAAACUUGGGGCUUAACCCCGAGCCUGCGGUCGAUACGGGCAGACUUGAGUUCGGCAGGGGAGACUGGAAUUCCUGGUGUAGCGGUGAAAUGCGCAGAUAUCAGGAAGAACACCCGUGGCGAAGGCGGCUCUCUGGGACGGUACUGACGCUGAGACGCGAAAGCGUGGGGAGCGAACAGG
rnacentral:rRNA from 1 species